GAUGAACGCUAGCGGCAGGCCUAAUACAUGCAAGUCGAACGGUAACAUGAGUAGCAAUACUUGAUGACGAGUGGCGCACGGGUGCGUAACGCGUAUGCAAUCUACCUUUAACCGGUGAAUAGCCCGAAGAAAUUCGGAUUAAUACACCAUAGUAUGUUGGAGAGGCAUCUCUUUGACAUUAAAGUUCCGACAGUUAAAGAUGAGCAUGCGUGACAUUAGCUAGUUGGUGAGGUAACGGCUCACCAAGGCAACGAUGUCUAGGGGAUCUGAGAGGAUUAACCCCCACACUGGUACUGAGACAGGGACCAGACUCCUACGGGAGGCAGCAGUAAGGAAUAUUGGACAAUGGUGGCAACACUGAUCCAGCCAUGCCGCGUGAAGGGUGAAGGCCCUAUGGGUUGUAAACUUCUUUUGUUACGGGAAGAAAUCGCAUGGGUUAAUACCCUGUGUGGAUGACGGUACCGGAAUAAGAAGCACCGGCUAACUACGUGCC
rnacentral:rRNA from 1 species